rnacentral:rRNA from 1 species
AUGCAGCCAUGCCGCGUGUGUGAAGAAGGCCUUCGGGUUUGUAAAGCACUUUCAGUCGUGAGGAAGGGGGUGUAGUUAAUACCUGCAUUAUUUGACGUUACCUACAGAAGAAGCACCGGCUAACUCCGUGCCAGCAGCCGCGGUAAUACGGAGGGUGCGAGCGUUAAUCGGAAUUACUGGGCGUAAAGCGCAUGCAGGUGGUUUGUUAAGUCAGAUGUGAAAGCCCGGGGCUCAACCUCGGAAUUGCAUUUGAAACUGGCAAACUAGAGUACUGUAGAGGGGGGUAGAAUUUCAGGUGUAGCGGUGAAAUGCGUAGAGAUCUGAAGGAAUACCGGUGGCGAAGGCGGCCCCCUGGACAGAUACUGACACUCAGAUGCGAAAGCGUGGGGAGCAAACAGGAUUAGAUACCCUGGUAGUCCACGCCGUAAACGAUGUCUACUUGGAGGUUGUGGCCUUGAGCCGUGGCUUUCGGAGCUAACGCGUUAAGUAGACCGCCUGGGGAGUACGGUCGCAAGAUUAAAACUCAAAUGAAUUGACGGGGGCCCGCACAAGCGGUGGAGCAUGUGGUUUAAUUCGAUGCAACGCGAAGAACCUUACCUACUCUUGACAUCCAGAGAACUUUCCAGAGAUGGAUUGGUGCCUUCGGGAACUCUGAGACAGGUGCUGCAUGGCUGUCGUCAGCUCGUGUUGUGAAAUGUUGGGUUAAGUCCCGCAACGAGCGCAACCCUUAUCCUUGUUUGCCAGCGAGUAAUGUCGGGAACUCCAGGGAGACUGCCGGUGAUAAACCGGAAGGAAGGUGGGGACGACGUCAAGUCAUCAUGGCCCUUACGAGUAGGGCCUACACACGUGCUACAAUGGCGAAUACAGAGGGUUGCCAAACUUGCCGAGAGUGAGCUAAUCCCAAAAGUGCGUCGUAAUCGAAUUGGAAUUCUGCACUCACUCCA